GAUGAACGCUGGCGGCGUGCUUAACACAUGCAAGUCGAACGGAAAGGCCCAAGCUUGCUUGGGUACUCGAGUGGCGAACGGGUGAGUAACACGUGGGUGAUCUGCCCUGCACUUCGGGAUAAGCCUGGGAAACUGGGUCUAAUACCGGAUAGGACCAAAUGUUGGAUGGUGGGGUGGAAAGUUUUUCGGUGUGGGAUGAGCUCGAGGCCUAUCAGCGUGUUGGUGGGGUAAUGGCCUACCAAGGCGUCGACGGGUAGCCGGCCUGAGAGGGUGUACGGCCACAUUGGCACUGAGACUGAGCCCCGACUCCUACGGGUGGCAGCGGUGGGGAUUAUUGCACAAUGAGCGCAAGCCUGAUGCUGCGCCGCCGCUUGGGCGAUGACGGCCUUCGGGUUGUAGAUUCCUUUCGCUAGGGACGAAGCGUUAUGUGACGGUACCUGGAGAAUAAGCUCCGGCUAACUACGUG
rnacentral:rRNA from 1 species